ACCCUUGGCCACUGAAGACAUAAAUGCAUGCAUCAUCGCUGGCCUUGAUGCAGACCUUGAACCAGUGGUGGCUUCCAUCGUCGACAGAACUCCUUCACCUUCUGUCUUAGAGGUGUAUACUCAACUUCUGAGUUAUGAGA
rfam:Oryza brachyantha chromosome 11, whole genome shotgun sequence.